UGAGAUCAUGACCUGAGCCAAAGUCAGCCAUCCAAUCGACUGAGCCAUCCAGACCUUUCUCAGGACAUUGAUUUGUAAAGAAGAUGGAACCACGUGUCCUCCAGAGGAUCCCUUCACUAUGUGAUUUUUUCUGAUUGCUUCCCUGUGGUGUCACGGAACUUUCCCCCCAGCUCUUGUAAUUUCUGUAAACUGGAAAUGAGAUCUAAAGGCUUGGUUAAAGUUAAAUAUCAUUAAUGGUGGAUUAAGGUGAUGGUGGUCUGUUACCCCAUUAUUCAGUUAUGGUUGUCCCUCUUUCUUCCAGAGAACAAUCUGGAAGGGGAUCCAUUGGCCCCCUGGUUCCCUGCUUCCCUCCAUCAUUCACUCAUGGUUUUAGGACCAGUUGUUCAUUCUUUCCUGUAUCAAUAAUUGUAUCAAAAGAUGAAAAUGGAGCUUUAGUUUAUCAUGCUCUCCCUUGUGAAUUAGCUGGCAUACCCUCCCCCAAAUUUUAUUGAGAAAUAAAUCACUGAUAUAAAUUGUUGAGAAUUA